GUGCCUGAAGAUAAAUACGAUAAUUAUUUGUGUUUGAAUUACUACUAAUAACUACAAGCACGGUUUCAAAAGUACCAGAAGAAGAUAUACAUUUGAACCAUAUGUGUGAACAUAGUACAUAUUUUCUGGGGAAUUUUCCAGUUGGGAGACUGUUAAAUGUCAGUGUAAUAGGAAAGAUACCAAUCAUUAAAUUAUUACUGUUGCAUCGAGUUUGCUGACAGCAAGAAGAUAAAUGUAAUGUGGUAGGAGGAGAAAUGGUGACGAUUAGGUGAGUCAAUAUGGUUUCCUCCCUGAGAAGUAACAUGGGAAAGUGUGCUUUUUUGACGAAAGUCUUCCAAAGUAAUAGCAAUGGAACAGUGUGAGUCCAUAGACCCAAGGGCAAACGACAUAAUAGCGAGGUUGAGGAUGAAGUUUUAAACAUGAAAAUGUGUACGUCGGACAUUCAGCACUGCUUUCCUGUAAGCCUAGAAGUUUGACAGUGGUGUUUAGAUAGUCAGUGGAAUCAUGAUCAGCAUUCCAAACACCAUUGUCAAACUUCUAGGCUUACAAGAAAGCAGUGCUGAAUGUCUGACAUACUCGUUUUCGCGUUUAAAACUUCAGCCUCAACCUCACUGUUAAUAAAUACAUUCAUGUGGUAGACAGGACUGGUGGUUUUUCCCUAGGUGAGUUUUUACAUUUAGCUAUCACUAUAUUUAUAGAAUAAUUGUUACUGUAAACAGAACAUAAAACCUGUAUUUGACAUACUAAAUAGAUAAACAUUGAAAAAUAUUAGCAUAUUCAAAAUAGUAUUGAAAUACUAUAUAGUACUGUUUGUUUCAUCUCAGCUUUUUAACUAUCACAAGCUUAGUCUGAGAAAAGGAAGAGGAAAAGCUGAAAUUAAAUUACAAAAUACAACUGGAAAAAAUAUUUUUGUGUAAAUCUUGAUUUAAAGUUGUUUGCUUUUUUUCUAUAAUCCCAAACUUGAAGGGUUCUGAGUGUUUGAUCUGACGAGGUGCACAAUGACAAAAAUUCUAUGAAGUAAAAUUAGUGUCUUGGAUUAUUAACCCAGGGAUAUUGAAAUUGCUUGAUGAAAUUCUCAACCCUACAAAUUUGGGAUUGUAGAGAAAUGACAACAGAAAUGCAGCAUUUCUGAUCCACACUUGAUUUAAUGACAUAUACAGACAUAAAAUGAAUUCACUCAAACUUGUACACAUAUUCACAAAUUCUCUGUAUAUAUUUAUAGCAUAUACAGUGGGUGAUUGGUUAACGAACAAAUCAGAUAACGAACACUUUUGCGAAAGAUUUUUAUGAUCGGACAACGAACACAUGUUCGGAUAAUGAACACUUCACUGAACAAACACAAGAAGCAACGUAAAAUAACGAAUAUCGAUUGAUCUUCCUUUGUUUUCAGGCAACAAUUUGAAAAUUUUUGGAGCGCUGGAGACAUCGACAUCGACGUUCUACCCAGUAUAUACUGAUUGGACAGUAUUCCCCCGAACUUUGAAAUUCUCCCUUGUAAUUCCAGCCUUUUGUAUAUCUGACAGAAACAAUUAUUUUAUGUU